rnacentral:rRNA from 1 species
UACAGAGGUCCCGAGCGUUGUUCGGAUUCAUUGGGCGUAAAGGGUGCGUAGGUGGCGCUGUAAGUGGGGUGUGAAAUCCCGGGGCUUAACUCCGGAACUGCAUUCCAUACUGCGGUGCUUGAGGGAUUGGAGAGGAGACUGGAAUUUACGGUGUAGCAGUGAAAUGCGUAGAGAUCGUAAGGAAGACCAGUGGCGAAGGCGGGUCUCUGGA